CCUACGGGUGGCAGCAGUGGGGAAUAUUGGACAAUGGGGGCAACCCUGAUCCAGCCAUGCCGCGUGUGUGAAGAAGGCCCUCGGGUUGUAAAGCACUUUCAGUGAGGAAGAACGCCUGGUGGUUAAUACCCAUCAGGAAAGACAUCACUCACAGAAGAAGCACCGGCUAACUCCGUGCCAGCAGCCGCGGUAAUACGGAGGGUGCGUGCGUUAAUCGGAAUUACUGGGCGUAAAGCGCGCGUAGGUGGCUUGAUAAGCCGGUUGUGAAAGCCCCGGGCUCAACCUGGGAACGGCAUCCGGAACUGUCAAGCUAGAGUGCAGGAGAGGAAGGUAGAAUUCCCGGUGUAGCGGUGAAAUGCGUAGAGAUCGGGAGGAAUACCAGUGGCGAAGGCGGCCUUCUGGACUGACACUGACACUGAGGUGCGAAAGCGUGGGUAGCAAACAGGAUUAGAUACCCUGGUAGUC
rnacentral:rRNA from 1 species